AGUGCUUCCUCCUUCUUGUAUGCUUUAGAGGUGUUUACCCAUGGGCGUGGGACACAAGAAACAAGUGAAUGUAGUCUAUUCAUUUGGUUUCCCAUUUCAUUCUUGCUUCUUGAGGAGGCAAUGACUUUUGCCUGAUAUGUCCAUGUUCUCUCCCCUGUGCCUGGAAAAGACACACUAGAGAGAAGUCUGUUGAACUUUGGCUCAUGAAACAGUACAUAAGGAAAUGCCUCUAUAUUCAUGGACUUUAAGACUUCCCUGAAAAUGUUUAUUAAUGGACUCCUUAGACCUUCUCAUCCUGAUCUCAAAACAGUAGACACACUGUUCAAAAUGGACAGUCCAGCUUUCACCUAGUUUCUCCCAAAGACAGGAGUGCCUCUGGCCAAGCAGCUCUUGUGGUUCAUGGAGUUGCCAUUCACCAACCUGGAAGUGGCCUUCAUCUUGUUGGCUUUUGUUAUCUUCUCCCUGUUCACUCUGGCUUCCAUCUACAGUGAUCCAGAGAAGAAAAAUGCAGAGGAAGAAUGUCAAUGGGAAGAAGAAAGAAGAAAAAAGAAACCCAAGAAGAAAAAAGGCAGUUCAGCAAGUCAGAGUUUAAUUGAAGAAAUUUAGAGUUAUAAGCUUUCUGUCUUAAGACCUCAAAGCUGGAAGUGUUCUCCAGGACAGAUGCCAAAGCUUCCACAUGUAGUUGGUAAGAUGAAGAUAUGCCCAAGAGGAUAGAAGAAGUUAUUCAUUGAAGAGACUGAAUCCAGACAUAACUGUAAUAACUAUUAACAAACUGCAUCCUGGAAAGUGAUGAUUUUUUACAAUCCCAUUUCAUAGCCUGGAGAAUGGUAAUGCUCAUAUUAAUAAGAUUGUGACCAGAGAUAAAGGGUUCAAGUCACGUGAAUUGCCAUUUCCAAAUAAUGGAGAAAGGAGAGUCUUCAUUCACUCUUUUUUGUUUGAUUUCUACCAAAUUCAUUAAGGAUUAAAGGAAAUGAUGGUUUAUUUGUUUUACAUCUAACAUGGACAUGGGGGAAAUGAAUUUGAUUUAUUUAGUGGAAUUUCAUAAUUCCAUUAAAAUAAACUUUAAAGAAGUUAUAGUCA
rnacentral:lncRNA from 1 species